UACGUAGGGUGCAAGCGUUAAUCGGAAUUACUGGGCGUAAAGCGUGCGCAGGCGGUUUUGUAAGUCUGUUGUGAAAUCCCCGGGCUUAACCUGGGAAUGGCAAUGGAGACUGCAAGGCUAGAGUUUGGCAGAGGGGGGGUAGAAUUCCACGUGUAGCAGUGAAAUGCGUAGAGAUGUGGAGGAACACCGAUGGCGAAGGCAGCCCCCCUGGGUCAAGACUGACGCUCAUGCACGAAAGCGUGGGGGAGCAAACAGG
rnacentral:rRNA from 1 species